rnacentral:rRNA from 1 species
GUAGGGUGCGAGCGUUAUCCGGGAAUCAUUGGGCGUAAAGAGCUCGUAGGCGGUUCAGCAAGUCGGCUGUGAAAUUCCGAGGGCUCAACCUCGGAACUGCAGUCGAUACUGUUGUGACUCGAGUCCGGUAGAGGAGAAUGGAAUUCCCGGUGUAGCGGUGAAAUGCGCAGAUAUCGGGAGGAACACCAGUAGCGAAGGCGGUUCUCUGGGCCGGCACUGACGCUGAGGAGCGAAAGCGUGGGUAGCAAACAGGAUUAGAUACCCUGGUAGUCCACGCCGUAAACGUUGGAUACUAGGUGUGGCGUUCCGACCAACGGUCGCCGUGCCGAAGCUAACGCAUUAAGUAUCACGCCUGGGGAGUACGGCCGCAAGGCUA